rnacentral:tRNA from 1 species
CCAGGCGGUGCUGGGGCCGGUGGAGCGGGGCGGCUACGCGCUGCUCGGCCUGACCCGGGUCGACCCCGCUGUUGUUCGAGUCGAUGCCCUGGGGC